GGGCGGAUGGCGGAAUUGGUAGACGCACCACACUCAAAAUGUGGCGCCGAGAGGCGUAAGAGUUCGAGUCUCUUCCCGCCCA
rnacentral:tRNA from 1 species